AGUGAAAAUACGGUCAUAGUACAUAGUACACACUGGGGAAUAUCGUUGUAUUUCCGCGAUAUUACCCUUUGAUUACCGUGAAUAUUGUAGUCCCUAGAGGAAUUUCAACUUUUGUAUAUGUGGAUAAAUUGGUAAGUGAGAAUCGAGAUCGAAAGCUCAGUUUUCUUAAACACUUUUGUGUUUUUAAUUGUGUUUUAUUGUUUAUAGUGUAUAUAAAGAAUUAAUUUGACGAUUACAAUAUUUUUGAAUUGAUUUAACUGUUGAAAUAAACCGUAAAAAGCAAUCAUACGUACACUAUCACAUAUUUAUAUGAAAAGUAUAAUAAAUUUUAAAGCACAGUUAAAAAAUAAUCCUUAUUGUACAUUUGUACGUGUAGUGGAUAAAUAUUUUACGUGACAUAAACAGAAUAUUUCAUCAACAUAAUUGAACAGUUUUAUGUUUUAAUAUCGUGAAAUCAAGACAAUUAGAAUAAAUCAUAAGAAGAUAUAAAUUAAUAUUGUUAACAUAAGUAUUUUCCCAAAGACUGAAAGCUUCAUUCAAAGACUAAAAUAUAAAGCAAACGAAAGCUGACAGCUGUUUUCAGGAAUUUCAGCCAUAUAGCCUGAAGUAGAACAUUUUACACCAAUGACGCAAUCAUAUAUAAAUAAUUUGAUCCAUAUUUUAUGCUGCAUUUAACCCAUUGGCCAUUGAGUGCGAGCACUCUUCCCUUGACAAGUAAAAUAGUCUGGCGUUAGACAGAGUAAUAAUAUGGCAUUGGGCAGAGUUAGGCUACGUUCACACGUACUAUAGCGGAUAUAGCUUUCCAUAGCAACACGGAAAAGCAUGGCCUAUCCGAUACUGAAUGUACAACUCUCUGUUGCAAUAAUGCCUCUGAAAAUAGCGUUCCUAAAAGGUACUACACUGUGAAGUUGUGGAUAGGUGAUUUUUCAUGUCACUAUGGAAAGCUACCUGGUAUAGUAUAAACACACAGCUUAAAAUUAAGUAAAAUAGGGUGCAUUAUGGAGCAUUGCAACUUAAUGGGUUAACCCAUUAAGCUACAGAGCUUCCCCAUUGACGAGUAUAAUCGUCUGGCGUUAUAUAGACAAGUAAAAAAAAGUAGGGCGCACUGGGGUGCAUUGCGGCCCAAUGGGUUAACUAGAGACAUUGUCAGAUCUUUUGGUUAACCCAUUAAGCUGCAGAGCUUCCUCAUUGACGAGUAAAAUCAUCUGGCGUUAGACAAGUGGGGCACAUUGCGGCUCAAUGGGUUAAAUUAAGGACCAUCUCUCUUUGGUCUAGUGUUGCUGCACGAGAAGCCUAAACUUUAUCGAUACUAGAUAAGCACUGUCUAAUAUACUUUCAUUCAGAAAAUACCAUUUCAGAGGGCGCUUUCCAUUUAAUGGCCUGACCGAUCAGACCCAAAUUUUUUUCCCUGUAUCAAUGGAAAGAUCUGUUGUAUGUUUCUCAAAUAUCUAGCAAAAAUGGACCUCAUUCUAAUGUUAUCAAGAUUUUCCAGUCAGAUAGGUCCGAAGCCUAAAUGUUUUGUGUUUCAUUCAACAAUUUAACCGGUCUGGCCGUGUUAAUGGAAAGCGCCCAGAGACUCAACUGAGUCAAUUCUAUUAAAAAUUGCCCCUCACUGGAUCAAAUCAGCUUACAACUAGUACUUAAUUAACCUGGGUAGGACGGUAUAGAAUAUGCAUGUGAUGAUUACGUUUUAACGCAAUAUGUUAAUUAAAAAUUGAUGCGUGAAGUGUGCCAAAUAUUAAUGGUUUUAACAAACUUUGGGUGCAGAUGUAACAUGUUAGGUUGUAAAUUAUCAUUAAAAAUCAAAACGACUGACGUCACGUAGAUUGUUGAAUGAAUAAUCAAGUAGAUUGUUGAAUGAAUAAUCAGUAAUUUCUGAUUGCAGCACAAAUUUAGUCAGUCAGUCACUUGGAAACAUUCAGCUAAUUCACACAUAUUCACACACAAACCAUGCACAGUAGCUCAAUUAAUUUGCAUACCUUAGGAUAAAACCAAUAACACCAAAAUCAACCUGAGCCAAGAACGCACUAGCUCACAACUGAGAGACAUGGAAGUAACGAGAGAGGUGAUGUCAUCAUAUUGGACGGAACAUUCCAAGAAACAGAGCAUUGAAGAAAUGAUGUUGGAUGAAGAUGCGAGUAAAAUAACAAAACAUGAACAUCCCGAGGUCUUGAGUCUCCUUCCUGAUCUCAAAGGGAAGAAGAUUCUUGAACUAGGAGCAGGAAUCGGGUAGGUGUAAUUCAUUCCUAAAUCACAGCAACCACUGUCA